AGGUUUUGUGUCAACGACCAUGUGCGCAACAAUUCUGUGGCUCCUGGUCGCCUUUCUGUCAAUCGGUUCAUGCUUUCUCAAAAAUGACAUCAAUGAAUAUGAAUACGAGAUUCCUAUUCCCGUAGAGGGGAUAUCAGCGCAAGACAUCUACCAUCAGAACGGUUAUUAUUUUAAAUAUA